GAAAGAGCGCGGGCUUGGGAGUCAGAGGUCCUGGGUUCGAAUCCCGGCUCUGCCACUUGGCAGCUGGGGGCCCGGGGGCAAGUCACUUCACUUCUCUGGGCUUCAGUGACCUCAUCUGUAAAAUGGGGAUGAAGACUGUGAGCCUCACAUGGGACAACCCGAUGACCCUGUAUCCACCCCGGCGCUUAGAACAGUGCUCUGCACAUAGUAAGCGCUUAACAAAUACCGACAUUAUUAUUAAAGGUCCGACUGGGCCUGGGAUUCCCUGAUAACUCAGGGGUCUGAAAGUAGCGGAUACCUGAAAACCCUGGAGCCCCUCAGCUCUCUCAUUUUCGAGGACUUCGAACAAUCUGUAGUUUUGCUACCGUUAUUCUACGCCCAACAUCAUUUUUCAAAAUUCCUUAAUGGAUCUCUAGAAAAACAGUUUUCUAAAUAUCGUCCCUUCAAGCCAAACUAUGGAAAUUUUAGCCACCUCUUCCCCGCCCCCGAUGCAAUUUCCCCUCUGACACAGAUCUCGGUGACUGGGAACGCUGAGAUCCACAGAGGGUCUUGUCUUUUGGAGAAACGAUUUUUAGCCUCCCUGAGCCUUUAGUCACCGAAAUGCCCGAUGCUUGCUGGAAGUCCGGUUGCCACGGCGACGGAACGUGGAUCAACAGAAAUGGAGUGGGGUGCUCUGAAAUGAUCCGUUUUCACAGCGAAGCUGCGAUGGGCUGUUUUGGAAGAAUCCGUUCCCAUGACCCUGAUUUCCGGCGAAUGGAUUUAUUUCCCCCAGAGUUUAGUGAAGAAAAGCUCUCGGAGAUAACAGCCCGGCCCCAGGACUCGCAGAAAAAGAGAAAGAGAGGCCGGCCUGGCCUAGCGGAAAGGACGCCGAGAGUCCAGAGACCGGCGUUUGACUCCCAGCUCUGUCUCCGGUCCGUGGUGUGACGUUGGGAGAGUCGCUUAACCUUUCCGGGCGUCGGUGUGGGGGAUACGAUACUCGCUCUCUCUUCCUCUUGGACUGCGAGCCCGUGUGGGACAGGGACUGUGUUCGGUCUCACUGUAUCUAACUCAAUUCACGGCGUCCAGUAGGUACCUAAUAAAGGAUUUAAAAACCACCCCCAACCAAACUGCUAAGGCAGAGAAAGCGCAGAGACACGUGAUCCAGUGGUUUGCUGCAGGCAAAUUGAGGCCUGCUUCAUCCAGGACAGGCCCUCUUUCACACUGUUCUUCAGAGAGAGCGAUGUCCCAGAUUUUCUUAGCCGUCUCCACCGGUGCUGGAUCAUCUCAAUAGGCGUCCUGCCCGGUCUUGUGUUCGAGCAAACUCUCCCCUGCAGCGAUCUGAACCCGUUUCCUCUCGCACGUCACCGCUAGUGACUUGGCAGCCCCAGCUCCGCCGACGACCUCCUGUGUGACCUAACCUCUCUGGGUUUCGAUUUCCUCAUCUGGGAAAUGGGUAUAUGAUCUCCGUCCUACCUCCCUCUUCGACCGUAAGCCACCAUGAAGGACGGGAACUGGGCCCGAUCUUGUAACCUGUAUUUACCUCAGGCCUCGGCACACAGAGAGCACCUAACAGAAGACGCUAUUAGUAAAAUUUCCCUUCCGACUGCGUCACCGAUACCCACUCCCCGAAGCCGAGGCUAGGCUGAAGAAUUCCCUAGAGUGCUGCUCUUCAGGCAGUCGUACGAUCUCUCCCAUCUUUCCUCCGUUCAGGAAAUUGCUCCGUCAUCACGGAACGUUCUGAGCAGAAUAAAUCUAGCUGGGGAGGAACGGCGUCGUCUGUCUCCGCUUUGCUCGAGUCCUUUCGCCGGGGGGGGGGGGGGGAGUUCAUCAAGAAAGGGGGGGCUUCCCUGUUCAAAGAGGACGAGGUUCACGCCUAAGUUGGGGGCGAUGGCUCACGGGAGAGCCAGGAAUGGCCAGAAAUGGCAGCGGGAGAGGACCCGGUCCUGGCCAUUUACUUGUCCGGGAUAAUUGGGUGAAGAUCCCUGCACGAAGUAGAGGCGGUUCUGCCAGGGCACGCAUCUUCACUACCCUAUUUGGCUAAAAUGCGCUGAAAGGACUGGGGCCAGUUCUCCCCACGGUGUGAGUCCGUUCUCAUCCAAAAGGAUCCACGAGUUGGCCCAAGUAAUAAUAAUAAUGUUGGUAUUUGUUAAGCGCUUACUAUGUGCAGAGCACUGUUCUAAGCCCUGGAGUAGAUACGUGUCCCACGUGCGGCUCACAGUCAAUCCCCACUUUACAGAUGAGGUAACUGAGGCACAGAGCAGUGAAGUGACUUGCCCACGGUCCCACAGCUAACCAGUGGCAGAGUCGGG
rnacentral:lncRNA from 1 species